rnacentral:rRNA from 1 species
CUGGACUUGACAUGUACUUGACAUCCGUAGAAAUACGGCUUUCUAGGCUUCGGUCUAGACGGGUACACAGGUGCUGCAUGGCUGUCGUCAGCUCGUGUCGUGAGAUGUUGGGUUAAGUCCUUUAACGAGCGCAACCCUUGCUAUCAGUUGCCACUUGCGUAAGCAAAGCACUCUGGUGGGACUGCCUGGGAAACCAGGAGGAAGGUGGGGACGACGUCAAGUCAUCAUGGUCCUUAUGUCCAGGGCUACACACGUGUUACAAUGGCUAGUACAGAGGGUUGCAAACCUGCAAAGGUGAGCUAAUCUCAGAAAGCUAGUCUAAGUUCGGAUUGAGGUCUGCAACUCGACCUCAUGAAGUUGAAAUCGCUAGUAAUCGCAUAUCAGAAUGAUGCGGUGAAUACGUUCUCGGGCCUUGUACACACCGCCCGUCACGCCAUGAAAGUCGUCUGUACCCGAAGUUGUUUUAGCCGACCCGCAAGGGGGGCGAGCACCUAAGGUAUGGGGGGUAAUUGGGGCG